AUUGAACGCUGGCGGCAGGCCUAACACAUGCAAGUCGAACGAGUGGCGGACGGGUGAGUAAUGUCUGGGAAACUGCCAGAAGGAGGGGGCUAACUACGGGAAACGGUAGCUAAUCCCGCAUACCAUCGGAUGUGCCCAGAUGGGAUUAGCUAGUAGGGGGGGUAAAGGCUCAACUAGGCGACGAUCCCUAGCUGGUCUGAGAGGAUGACCAGCCACACUGGAACGGAGACACGGUCCAGACCCCUACGGUAGGCAGCAGUGGGUAAUAUUGCACAAUGGGCGCAAGCCUGAUGCAGCCAUGCCGCGUGUAUGAAGAAGGCCUUCGGGUUGUAAAGUACUUUCAGCGGGGAGGCGUUACCCGCAGAAGAAGCACCGGCUAACUCCGUGCCAGCAGCCGCGGUAAUUC
rnacentral:rRNA from 1 species